rnacentral:rRNA from 1 species
CUCUUUCAGCAGGGACGAAGUUGACGUGUACCUGCAGAAGAAGCGCCGGCUAACUACGUGCCAGCAGCCGCGGUAAUACGUAGGGCGCAAGCGUUGUCCGGAAUUAUUGGGCGUAAAGAGCUCGUAGGUGGCUGGUCGCGUCUGCCGUGAAAGCCCGCAGCUUAACUGCGGGUCUGCGGUGGAUACGGGCCGGCUAGAGGUAGGUAGGGGCAAGUGGAAUUCCUGGUGUAGCGGUGAAAUGCGCAGAUAUCAGGAGGAACACCGGUGGCGAAGGCGGCUUGCUGGGCCUUACCUGACGCUGAGGAGCGAAAGCGUGGGGAGCGAACAGGAUUAGAUACCCUGGUAGUCCACGCUGUAAACGUUGGGCGCUAGGUGUGGGACCCUUCCACGGGUUCCGUGCCGGAGCUACGCAUUAGCGCCCGCCUGGGGAGUACGGCCGCAAGGCUAAACUCAAGGAAUUGACGGGGGCCGCACAGCGGCGGAGCAUGUUGCUUAUUCGAC